rnacentral:lncRNA from 13 species
CGUGGCCUUAACCUUUCUUUAACGAAAUUAAACCUCUUGUUUUGCACCCAAUUCUGUGUUGCUGACCACUAGCCUGUUGUAAAUCCACUGACACAGCUUAGAAUUGGGGUGCCAGUUGUUGCAUUCCUCAAACAACUUUAUUAAAAGGACCGUUGACGUCUUGCUGUAGGCUAUUGCCUUUUUGACUGCGAUCUAAUCUAAUAAUGACGCAGGUGACGUCCACAUCCCUCCUACACCUCUUCCAGUUCAGUCCUGAUAUAUGGUGUGCCUCCCUCUACUUCUCAGACUACAAGAGUCCAGCUACCGCAGCAGAACCCACACAACCGCUCCUACACACACGGAUGGAGAACGGGAGCUGGCUUGGCGGUGAUGUGGUUAGACUUUGUGCUCUAUUUAUCAGCUCUUUCUUAGGUCAUUUCUACGGGGAGAAAAUCUAAGUCUUCCAUGAUGAAACUGGUGUUUGUUUUUGCCGUGGUUGCGUAUUUCUUUGCAGAACAUCUAGCACUUCCCGUUGGAGAAGAACGACAGCGAGAGGAUGUGGUAACACGGUGCUUGGUUGAGGUCCUGUCCAAGGCGUUGACCAAACCUGACUCUCACCCUCUGGAUCAGGAAUGUAAAGAUAUUCUCAAAGCAGGUGCCCAACAUGCUGCUCCUGUGGAGAAGAAAAGUGAUGAGGUGCUGACUAAUGAAGAGGAGGGCAAAGAACAUGAACCUGAGGCACCAGGAGCCGACGUGAAAGACAUCGAGGCCCUCUUGAAGUCUGUGGAGGAGAAGAGGGAGACACCGGAGGACGAAGAUCGCAGCCAGGAGUCAUGGGACCUCAACUACGAGAAGGAGAAAAGGAUUUGGAAACCAACACACAGGUAUCAUUAUAAGAAACCCAAUCACAAACGUGAUGAGGAGGUUUCUGAAGAAGUGAGAGAAGAGCCAGACGAAGAACGUAGUCAGGAAUCCUGGAGCCUGGGCGAUGAGAAGGAGAAGAGAUAUAGGCCUACCUAUCGGUACACCACCAAAAAAACACCCCAAACGAGACGAAGAGGGUUUAGAGGAAGAGAGAGAAGAGAUAUAGGCCUACCUAUCGGUACACCCCAAAGAAACACCACAAACGAGACGAAGAAGACGAAGAGCGCAGUCAAGAGUCCUGGAGUCUGGGCGAUGAGAAAGAAAAGAGAGAGGAGGAUGAUGAGGAAAGAAAGAAGAGGAUCUGGAAACCCACCCAUCGGUACCACCACAAGAAGCACCACAAACGCAGUGAAGAUCCUUCAGAGGAAGAGGAGGAGGAGAAAGAUAAGAGAAUUUGGAAACCCACACACAGAUAUCACCACAAGAAACACCACAAACGAGGUGCUGACUCAUCGGACGAGGAAUCAGAGGAGAAGAGAUCAGAAGAGUCAGAGGAAGAGGAGGAAGAGGAUAGAGAGAAGAGAAUCUGGAAGCCCACACACAGAUACCACCACAAAAAACACCACAAACGUGAUGAGGAGCUUUCAGAAGAAGGGAGAGAGGAGCCAGAUGAAGAACGCAGCCAAGAGUCCUGGAGUCUGGGUGAUGGAAAGGAGAAGAGAGAUGAGGAUAUGA